rnacentral:rRNA from 1 species
GACGAACGCUGGCGGCGUGCCUAAUACAUGCAAGUAGAACGCUGAAGAGAGGAGCUUGCUCUUCUUGGAUGAGUUGCGAACGGGUGAGUAACGCGUAGGUAACCUGCCUUGUAGCGGGGGAUAACUAUUGGAAACGAUAGCUAAUACCGCAUAACAAUGGAUGACACAUGUCAUUUAUUUGAAAGGGGCAAUUGCUCCACUACAAGAUGGACCUGCGUUGUAUUAGCUAGUAGGUGAGGUAAUGGCUCACCUAGGCGACGAUACAUAGCCGACCUGAGAGGGUGGUCGGCCACACUGGGACUGAGACACGGCCCAGACUCCUACGGGAGGCAGCAGUAGGGAAUCUUCGGCAAUGGGGGCAACCCUGACCGAGCAACGCCGCGUGAGUGAAGAAGGUUUUCGGAUCGUAAAGCUCUGUUGUAAGUCAAGAACGGGUGUGAGAGAGGAAAGUUCACACUGUGACGGUAGCUUACCAGAAAGGGACGGCUAACUACGUG